rnacentral:lncRNA from 1 species
UGUUCCUGAUGUGAUCUCAAAUUGAGAAGAGCAAGAAGAACCUGAGUCACCAUAAGGAGGAGUCACUACAAGGGCCCAAGAGAAAAAAAAUCAAGGAACAAGACCUUAUAAAGAACUUUCAAGAGUGUGAAGGCAUAUAAGGAGAAUGUACAAGAAGCUUGAAGAAGACAUAAGGAAUAUAAAUAGUUUUUGUAAUCUCCUUGUGAAUAAAAAUAUAGAUAUAAUAGAAUCUUUCUUUAGAAUAUAAAUAAAAGACAAGUAGUUUGGCUACAAGGAUAGUAUAAAAAAACAAGGGCCUUGGUUGGCAACUUAGAGAAACCAAGCAAGGCCUAACUCUUCAACUUCUUGUAAGGGCCUUGUUUGGGAGGCUUAACACACAAACCAAACAUUCCCUUGUUUCUUCAUAUAUGUGAGUUUUGCCUAUAUAAGCAUGAUGGCUCUCAUGCAUAACACAACAUGAGAAGAUUAAUGAAAUAGCAAGAGCUUUCUCCAGUCUUGAGUUCAAGAGGUAAGUCCUCAACCUGAGAAUAUUUUCUUGAGUUUUCCAAAUUCAAGUGGUGAUUGUCAUUUGCACUUAUCACUUUUAGAGUGGCUUGUUCUUCAUUCCUUUCUCCUUCGUGUUUGCUUGUUCUUUUUCUCUUUUUGUUCCAAAGAAUCAAACCUUCAUACUUAUAUAACCAGCUGGUUAAAUUCUUUUCAGUGGCAAGAAUAUAGGAUCUUGUCUGUGUUUAGUUUUCAAUUCCAAUUUCUAUAUUGGAUUGCCAAGAAUAUUGCUCAUUGUUUCCUCAUGGAAUUGAUUUGUUCUUGAGUUCCUAGACUCAAAGUACAUCGUCGAGACCCAUACAAGAUCAUCCAAGGUGAUUUAAGAUAUUUCAACCGAUUAAAUCACGUGUUCUUGGUUGCCAUGGAUUAAUUCUUCAAGGAGGUUCCAUUUCAAUCGCUUAGUUUUGUUAUAUUUCAUGUUUCUAAUACUUUUAUCGAUUGGUUUGGUUUUGUUGAGUUCUUGUAUAAUCAUUGAUUCUUAGUCAUCUUUUAUUGAUCCUACUUGUCUUGUUCAUACUCUGAACCUUCCUACUUAUACAAAUUCAAACAACGAGGAAUCAAAGAAAUUUCACUUGGUUUUACUGAUCUCUCCCUCAACAUAGAUUGAGCAACGACAUUGUAAAUAGGAAUUAAAACUAUCAAAAUGAUAGGUCUUGUCUUGUAAUUAAGAAAGAUUUUGGACACCAAACCUAACAAGACGCUCAAAUUAGAUGGUCCAAUGUCCACAGUUUCAAACCAAUAUUCCCUUAAAUUUUUAUAUCAGAGUAUCAAAGCAGGGCUAUCAUCCAAAGUGUAAGGACCAAAUGCGAUUUCUUAGUUUGCCAAAACACUUGUGCCUUUGUGUUGGAUUUCUGAGAUCUGCUAUGAUUUUACGACAAUUAUCAAAUGGAACUCAAACCUAUAGGAAAUUUGAUCAAGUAGAUGAUGUAACUAUUUUAAUUCAGUUGUUGAUCCUACUUGUCUUGUUCAUACUCUGAACCUUCCUACUUAUACAAAUUCAAACAACGAGGAAUCAAAGAAAUUUCACUUGGUUUUACUGAUCUCUCCCUCAACAUAGAUUGAGCAACGACAUUGUAAAUAGGAAUUAAAACUAUCAAAAUGAUAGGUCUUGUCUUGUAAUUAAGAAAGAUUUUGGACACCAAACCUAACAAGACGCUCAAAUUAGAUGGUCCAAUGUCCACAGUUUCAAACCAAUAUUCCCUUAAAUUUUUAUAUCAGAGUAUCAAAGCAGGGCUAUCAUCCAAAGUGUAAGGACCAAAUGCGAUUUCUUAGUUUGCCAAAACACUUGUGCCUUUGUGUUGGAUUUCUGAGAUCUGCUAUGAUUUUACGACAAUUAUCAAAUGGAACUCAAACCUAUAGGAAAUUUGAUCAAGUAGAUGAUGUAACUAUUUUAAUUCAGUUGUUGUUGAAUUUAUAUUUCUCACGCGUCUUAUUGUUCUUGGUGUCUUAUCCUGGCAUUAUUUAGGAAUUUGACAAAGGAUCACUAUACAAAUUAUAUGUCCAACAAAAUAGCAACUAUGAAGGCAUUCUUUCAUUUUGACACUAAUUUCAAAGUGGACAUUCCAUAAAUAAAGUUCAAUCAAUACAAUGGAUGUUAGGUUUUCAACGAACACUUAGUAAGACAACUAUAAUGUUCAUUUUGAGCAAAAGACAACAUCCUGAUAUGAAAACCUUGAGUGAGUACAGUAGGAUUUUGAUGUGGUCUAAGAUGAACGCUCCUGUUGUCAUUUCAUAUGCAACGUGAUGAUUCUUCCAAAGUCACCCUUGGUACGUGUUAUCGAGUUAGCUUCUAGUGGAACUCCACAAUACUUUAUACAUUUGUGUGAGAAACACUCGUACAAUGCAACAACAACAACAAGGUCAAACAAAUUGAAAGGAUUUGGGUGUACCUAGGAUUUACUUUUAGAGACAAAAUAUGGAAAUGUUUUGCGAAGUAAAAAACGAUAAGAGAAACAAGUAGCAACCCUUUUGUAGAAGUGAAGUAUUCUCUUUUUUUGCAAAGUUUGGGCCUCAUUGUGUUGUUUCUUGUGCCUUAACCUCAAAGAAUUACAAAAUAUUUGCAAAUCAAAGUUUGUCAUAUGUACAAACACUAUGUGAAACCCUAUUUUAAGUGAACAAUGUGACAUUUCCUUCCCCAUCACGCCCCAACUAAUGACCUUGUAUCCUGUCAUAAUGAAUGCUCUAGAGGUAUUCUCCCUCCAUUUUGCUCACUAAGACAAAUUCCAACUAGGUUAGUUGGAGCUUAUCUAGUUAAUUCGUCACCUUUGCUCGAGAGUGAGGGGUUAUGUAUCUUUAGGAUAACUCUUAGACAAAUUCCAACUAGGUAGUCAAAGCCCUUCUAUCUUUGUCGCCUAGGUUCAAGAUUGAGGGUUUGUAAACCAGACAAAUUGUGGCUAGGUUAGUCGACACUCGAUGAUUAUGAGUCAGUCUUUGUGCCGAACGAGUACCAUCGUACGUGUUCACAAACUAAACAAACUCUGAUAAAUUGGAAUUGUUUUCUAUUAAAUCGAAUCACCUAGAUUUUGGACCCCUUGUAGUUAGGGUGUGGGGCAACUAUCUUGGAAACCAAAGACAUUGAACAUGCAAAUUCCCCUGCCUAAAAAAUUGCUUAGGUACCAUCAUCUACAAAUAAAGGGAAAAUUGAUAUAAUAACUCAUUGUGAAUGAUCUAGUUUGAAGUUGUACUACUGGUAGGUAUUUGGUCUUCACGAGGGAUAAUCACAUAGAAUUCAAGGAUUCCGAUAAUAUCUCUCACCAUCAAGCAAAUGUUUAUUUACUAUUAAAUGCUAGUUACGGAGUGAAUAUGGACUAUUAAUGGGGAUCUUAUUCAUGUUAUCAUUUUAAGAAUAGACAAGAAAAUCAAUAUAAUAAGACAUAAUAAUUGAAUUAAAGAAAUAAGAGGGGAAUUAGAGUGACAAAUUUCUUAUUAUUGUGACUUAAUUACACGCACAAGAGAAGAAAACUUCGCUAUAAAUAGGAGAUUCCAGACCAAAGAAGUUCAAGACGAUAAGUUAAAGGAUCUCCUAAGUUCAUUUCUAGAUCAAAAGUUAUAUAGCAAAUUUGAUCUAGAACACAUUCAGUUUUUCAAAACGUUGGGCAUGGGUGAGGAAGAGAAAAUAGACCUCUUGACUAGUUGGAUUGGAUUGUCAUUCUAUUAGUACUGUGCCCUCUGAAAGUGAAAACAGGGUAUCCCGUGUAAACCCUCAAACGAUAUUCUCCAGAUACUGUUUUUGGCCGUAUCUGAAGGCGACUACCAACUUGAUUAGUAGUUAAUAGAAUAAUGCAGUGGUUGCAACCUCAAGGAUUUUUUUUCCUCUUUCUAAUACAAUGACGUCAUUCUCAGCAGCCAUGUGUCAAUUCUUUUUUAUUAUUUACGAAGAUAUUAAAAAUCAGUAAAUCAACGAAGUGUGCGAGAAUUUCCUCCGAAGUGAUGCAAGUCUUUAUCUUAUUGCCACCUGCGCAACUGACAUGCGAAUAAUUGGGUCUGAAAAAUGAAUUCCCACGAAUAUUACCAAGUGUGCAAGGCAUCUCUUUUAAGGAGUUGACCCGGGAAUCCAAAGGAUUACUCAACUUAUGAUGUCUAUUAACCUUGUUUGUGAAGCAUAAUUUGUGGUUCACUUCUAUUUUGAUGAGCAUCUUAUUAAACUUUCUUUCUGUUGAUUAAAUAUAAUAUUGGAAAUGCACAAAAAAUAAUUUCUCUGUUGAUUAUUUAUUGUAUUUAUUUCUUUAGCACUUUUUUUUUCUGUUGCCUAAGUUUUUUAUUUUCGGAUUAAAUUGAAUCUUGUAUACUUGGGAUUGGGAAAUUCAGCCACUGGAACUGGUAAAGAUACAUCAGUCACGUUAUCUUUUCUGCAGCAAAUGAUUAUAUUUGGUCAUCUCAUCCCUUUAUAACAGGAGACAAUCGUAUCCAUGGCAUACAUGUCCGAGUCAUCUACUACCAUGGCACGCAGCAUAUUAAGCAAAUAGUCUACUGAAUUACUGAUAUUCACCACUAAUAUCCUUUGUUGUAUUGGCAUAAGUGUUUUUAGAGUUUGAACUGGAAUAAAUGGCGACUUUUUUGGCUUUCAGGCAAAGGCUGGAUAGCAGAUACAACUUGUAGAUACAUUAUGAAGACCUCGUGGAUAUGAUUAUUUCCCAUAAAGCUGCUGAAAUAAAGUACCGGAUAACUUGGGGACAAUGCCAAGCGGUAUGUGAAUGCUAGCUAGACUAUUUUCAGACCAUUUCAGACUAUGUAGAGCAUGGCCAAAGCUCGGGUACUGGAUUAUAACAAAUUAGGUACCUAUAUGCCAUUGCUAUCUUUUGAAGAACCAUAUCAUGCAUCAACAUGACUAAGUAACCAAUCCAAUUACAAUUUUCUCCGUUAUUCCUGGACAGGAUUUGAAAUUAGCAACUGGAUGUUGUUUAUAUGCAAGUGAUCGGUGUGGAAUUUUUCUAUUCAAUAGAUGAUUUUUAUAGUUCUUAAGUGUUAAACCGUUUACAAAUGACUGCACUUCAUUGUGUUUAGGUGCCAAACCGUUUCAGUAUGUUACAUUAUGUGUUCAUGCUUUUCUCCUGCCAAACUUGAACUAUAGCAUUUUGUUCUCUCUCUAUAUGCGUGUGUAUAUAUAUACCUAUCCAAAUCAAUGUGUCAAGCUGCAAUUUGCAGAUCCCAAUAGCUAGAUUGAGAUGAAUUUAUAGUUAUGUUGCAUUUAAAUGAAAUGGAAACAGUAUGAAUCUAUAUGAAGA